AAGGAUCAUUACAAGUGAGGCUACCGAACGUUGGAAACAGCGGUUAGGAGCUUACACCCACCCGUGUUUACAUACUAUUGUUGCUUUGGCGGGCCGUGGCCUCCACUGCGGGCUCUGCUCGUGUGUGCCCGCCAGAGAACCAAACUCUGAAUGUUAGUGAUGUCUGAGUACUAUCUAAUAGUUAAAACUUUCAACAACGGAUCUCUUGGUUCUGGCAUCGAUGAAGAACGCAGCGAAAUGCGAUAAGUAAUGUGAAUUGCAGAAUUCAGUGAAUCAUCGAAUCUUUGAACGCACAUUGCGCCCUGUGGUAUUCCGCAGGGCAUGCCUGUUCGAGCGUCAUUUAACCACUCACGCCUAGCGUGGUAUUAGGGUACGCGGUCUCGCGGCCCUCAAAAUUAGUGGCGGCGCCGGUGGGCUCUAAGCGUAGUACAUACUCCCGCUAUAGAGUUCCUCCGGUGGCUCGCCAGAACCCCCAAUUUUUACAGGUUGACCUCGGAUCAGGUAGGGAUACCCGCUGAACUUAA
rnacentral:misc_RNA from 1 species